GCGAACUUAAGAAGGGACCCUUUCCAGUGGAACGCGACUUCACUCUUUCCGAUUCACUCAACGCUUUUUUGGAGACAGUACGUUCACGUGAGAAUCAAAAAGAAGCGAGUCUGCGUUCCAGAAAAUCACGUGGCCAAUCUUUCUCUCUCUCUCUCUCUCUCUUCCUCCUCCCUCCCUCUCUCUCUCUCUCUCUCUCUCUCUCGCUCUCUCGCUCUCUCGCUCUCUCAUCUUUUACAACCCUCUCCAGCCUGGCUGUGUGUACGAACUUUCAUACAGUCAUCGUGGGCGCUGCGGCGUGUUGAGAUGUGCCGGUCCUUGCACACUUUGGGGAAAUCCGUGGGUGGGGGAGACUGAAAAUGGCUGAGAACAGGACGACCAAAGAAAGCAGCUCCGUCGACCCGUUUCUUCCUGCCAGCUUACCCCCCUCCCCGCUUCCUGUUCUUUGGACCUCGCAGACUUGAUGGAAAUCCUCUACAUGAACUUGUGGGGUGUGCUGAGCCAACUGAGUAGCUGGAUGAAAUGGGAAACUCCACGGCAGGAAGUGGUGCUUUUCUGAUGCUGCUAAUUAAGGAAUGUGGAACCCUUCCUUCUGAGUCAGCUUGGCGGGGUCUCCCUUGACCUCCCGUUUGGAGAAGAUGCCGGAGGAACACUGAAAGGCAGGUCGUCUCUCAACUUCCGUGAGGAUCACCCAGAUCCAGGUUACCAGGAGAACUAAAUAACACCAUGAUUAGAUAAAUCGGAUGUGGAGUUAAUGGGAACGAACUCAACGGGUCUGUCUUGGGGGAGAAGAAGGAAUGGAGAAAAGCGAGGUCACAGACUGAAUGCUCUUCCUAGCCAACUGCGGAAGGCGUCGGGUUUCGGGUCUAAUGUAAUGUCGUCGGGGGAGCCGAGACUGG
rnacentral:lncRNA from 1 species